AGCGAACGCUGGCGGCAGGCCUAACACAUGCAAGUCGAACGAAGCCUUCGGGCUUAGUGGCGGACGGGUGAGUAACACGUGGGAACGUACCUUUUGGUUCGGAACAACUCAGGGAAACUUGAGCUAAUACCGGAUGAGCCCUUAGGGGGAAAGAUUUAUCGCCGAAAGAGCGGCCCGCGUUAGAUUAGCUAGUUGGUGAGGUAAAGGCUCACCAAGGCAACGAUCUAUAGCUGGUCUGAGAGGAUGAUCAGCCACACUGGGACUGAGACACGGCCCAGACUCCUACGGGAGGCAGCAGUGGGGAAGCUUGCGCAAUGGGCGAAAGCCUGACACAGCCAUGCCGCGUGAAUGAUGAAGGUCUUAGGAUUGUAAAAUUCUUUUACCAGGGACGAUAAUGACGGUACCUGGAGAAAAAGCCCCGGCUAACUUCGUGCCAGCAGCCGCCGUAAUAC
rnacentral:rRNA from 1 species